rnacentral:rRNA from 1 species
UACAGAGGUGGCAAGCGUUGUUCGGAAUUACUGGGCGUAAAGGGCGCGUAGGCGGCCAUGCAGGUCCGUUGUGAAAACUCGAGGCUCAACCUCGAGACGUCGAUGGAAACCGCAUGGCUAGAGUCCGGAAGAGGAGAGUGGAAUUCCUGGUGUAGCGGUGAAAUGCGCAGAUAUCAGGAAGAACACCCGUGGCUAAGGCGGUUCUCUAGUACGGUACUGACGCUGAGACGCGAAAGCGUGGGGAGCGAACAGG